rnacentral:ncRNA from 1 species
AAAAGAAUAUUAUAGUAUUCGUAUAUGCUUGAAAAUAAGGUUCAAGUGUCUCUACUAGGAAACCGUAAAUAUCCUAACUACGAAGAAAAGUAUU